AUUGAACGCUGGCGGCAGGCUUAACACAUGCAAGUCGAGCGAGCGGCGGACGGGUGAGUAAUGUAUGGGAACGUGCCUGGUGGAGGGGGAUAACUACUGGAAACGGUAGCUAAUACCGCAUACCAUCAGAUGUGCCCAGAUGGGAUUAGCUAGUGGGUGGGGUAAAGGCUCACCUAGGCGACGAUCCCUAGCUGGUCUGAGAGGAUGACCAGCCACACUGGAACUGAGACACGUCCCAGACUCCUACGGGAGGCAGCAGUGGGGAAUAUUGGACAAUGGGCGAAAGCCUGAUGCAGCCAUGCCGCGUGUGUGAAGAAGGCCUUCGGGUUGUAAAGCACUUUAAGCGGGGAGGCGUUACCAGCAGAAGAAGCACCGGCUAACUCCGUGCCAGCAGCCGCGGUAAUAC
rnacentral:rRNA from 1 species